UACGUAGGGUGCAAGCGUUGUCCGGAAUUAUUGGGCGUAAAGAGCUCGUAGGCGGUUUGUCGCGUCUGCUGUGAAAACCCGAGGCUCAACCUCGGGCCUGCAGUGGGUACGGGCAGACUAGAGUGCGGUAGGGGAGAUUGGAAUUCCUGGUGUAGCGGUGGAAUGCGCAGAUAUCAGGAGGAACACCGAUGGCAAAGGCAGAUCUCUGGGCCGUAACUGACGCUGAGGAGCGAAAGCGUGGGGAGCGAACAGG
rnacentral:rRNA from 1 species